GAGCCUGAGAAACGGCUACCACAUCCAAGGAUGGCAGCAGGCGCGCAAAUUACCCAAUCCCGACACGGGGAGGUAGUGACAAUAAAUAACAAUACGGGGUUCUUUCGGAUCUCGUAAUUGUAAUGAGUACAAUUUAAAUCUCUUAACGAGGAACAAUUGGAGGGCAAGUCUGGUGCCAGCAGCCGCGGUAAUUCCAGCUCCAAUAGCGUAUAUUAAAGUUGUUGCAGUUAAAAAGCUCGUAGUUGAAUUUCGGGGUUAGUAGGUUGGUCAUGCCUCUGGUAUGUACUGGUCUCACUGAUUCCUCCUUCCUUAUGAACCGUAAUGCCAUUAAUUUGGUGUUGCGGGGAAUUUGGACUGUUACUUUGAAAAAAUUAGAGUGUUUAAAGCAGGCUAACGCUUGAAUACAUUAGCAUGGAAUAAUGAAAUAGGACGUUCGAUCUUAUUUUGUUGGUUUCUAGGAUUGACGUAAUGAUUAAUAGGGAUAGUUGGGGGCAUUAGUAUUCAAUUGUCAGAGGUGAAAUUCUUGGAUUUAUUGAAGACUAACUACUGCGAAAGCAUUUGCCAAGGAUGUUUUCAUUAAUCAAGAACGAAAGUUAGGGGAUCGAAGACGAUCAGAUACCGUCGUAGUCUUAACCAUAAACUAUGCCGACUAGGGAUCGGAUGAUGUUAAUUUUUUAAUGACUCAUUCGGCGCCUUACGGGA
rnacentral:rRNA from 1 species